GCCUGGUGGGCUCAGUCAGCAGAGCGGGCGACUCUUGAUCUCAGGGUCGUGGGUUUGAGCCCCACAAUGGGUG
rnacentral:tRNA from 1 species